rnacentral:rRNA from 1 species
CAGGCUGCAACCCGCCUGUAUGAAGUUGGAAUCGCUAGUAAUCGCGGAUCAGCAUGCCGCGGUGAAUACGUUCCCGGGCCUUGUACACACCGCCCGUCACACCAUGAGAGUCGGGAACACCCGAAGUCCGUAGCCUAACCGCAAGGGGGGCGCGGCCGAAGGUGGGUUCGAUAAUUGGGGUGAAGUCGUAACAAGGUAGC